GCAAGUCGAACGAACUCUGGUAUUGAUUGGUGCUUGCAUCAUGAUUUACAUUUGAGUGAGUGGCGAACUGGUGAGUAACACGUGGGAAACCUGCCCAGAAGCGGGGGAUAACACCUGGAAACAGAUGCUAAUACCGCAUAACAACUUGGACCGCAUGGUCCGAGUUUGAAAGAUGGCUUCGGCUAUCACUUUUGGAUGGUCCCGCGGCGUAUUAGCUAGAUGGUGRGGUAACGGCUCACCAUGGCAAUGAUACGUAGCCGACCUGAGAGGGUAAUCGGCCACAUUGGGACUGAGACACGGCCCAAACUCCUACGGGAGGCAGCAGUAGGGAAUCUUCCACAAUGGACGAAAGUCUGAUGGAGCAACGCCGCGUGAGUGAAGAAGGGUUUCGGCUCGUAAAACUCUGUUGUUAAAGAAGAACAUAUCUGAGAGUAACUGUUCAGGUAUUGACGGUAUUUAACCAGAAAGCCACGGCUAACUACGUGCCAGCAGCCGCGGUAAUACGUAGGUGGCAAGCGUUGUCCGGAUUUAUUGGGCGUAAAGCGAGCGCAGGCGGUUUUUUAAGUCUGAUGUGAAAGCCUUCGGCUCAACCGAAGAAGUGCAUCGGAAACUGGGAAACUUGAGUGCAGAAGAGGACAGUGGAACUCCAUGUGUAGCGGUGAAAUGCGUAGAUAUAUGGAAGAACACCAGUGGCGAAGGCGGCUGUCUGGUCUGUAACUGACGCUGAGGCUCGAAAGUAUGGGUAGCAAACAGGAUUAGAUACCCUGGUAGUCCAUACCGUAAACGAUGAAUGCUAAGUGUUGGAGGGUUUCCGCCCUUCAGUGCUGCAGCUAACGCAUUAAGCAUUCCGCCUGGGGAGUACGGCCGCAAGGCUGAAACUCAAAGGAAUUGACGGGGGCCCGCACAAGCGGUGGAGCAUGUGGUUUAAUUCGAAGCUACGCGAAGAACCUUACCAGGUCUUGACAUACUAUGCAAAUCUAAGAGAUUAGACGUUCCCUUCGGGGACAUGGAUACAGGUGGUGCAUGGUUGUCGUCAGCUCGUGUCGUGAGAUGUUGGGUUAAGUCCCGCAACGAGCGCAACCCUUAUUAUCAGUUGCCAGCAUUAAGUUGGGCACUCUGGUGAGACUGCCGGUGACAAACCGGAGGAAGGUGGGGAUGACGUCAAAUCAUCAUGCCCCUUAUGACCUGGGCUACACACGUGCUACAAUGGAUGGUACAACGAGUUGCGAACUCGCGAGAGUAAGCUAAUCUCUUAAAGCCAUUCUCAGUUCGGAUUGUAGGCUGCAACUCGCCUACAUGAAGUCGGAAUCGCUAGUAAUCGCGGAUCAGCAUGCCGCGGUGAAUACGUUCCCGGGCCUUGUACACACCGCCCGUCACACCAUGAGAGUUUGUAACACCCAAAGUCGGUGGGGUAACCUUUUAGGAACCAGCCG
rnacentral:rRNA from 1 species